rnacentral:lncRNA from 1 species
GCUUACAGUAAUUUUAUUAAUUCUUAUUGGGUUAUCGGUUUACCCAUUAACAAAAUUGACAAACCGAGGCCCGAACCAAUAACCCAAUAGUGAAAAAAUUCUAACUCGCCGAGCCGUGAGAUCUGAGCUGCCUACAUAUCCUUGGUUAUAAAGGAAUUAGUCCACGUAUAGUUCAGAAGUAGGAAAAGUAGAGAAGGAUAUCAAGGUAGAGAGUCGAGUGAAAUGCCGUCGAGGUUCCGGUCCGCGGUUCCUGUCAUUCCAUCAAAAUGGAAAGCAAAUUUUACAACAAAAAUAAAAGAAAAAUGCAAAACCCUAUCUACUCAUUGUCUUGAAUCUUUCUUGAAUCUCCACUUGCUCCUUCAACAUGAAGCUAAAAAUUCAUCUUAUUCUUCACAUGGGCAUCCUGCUGACUUGAAUUUGAAAAAAACUGAAAGUUGACCAUGUUUUUCAGGCGGGCUCCUAAUGCUUCAACUUGAAUUAAACAUGAAAUUUAAGUAGACUUGAGCUUGCAAACCUUAUCUUUCGGGUAGGCUCGUGCUACUUCUGAUUUGAACUAAAAAUUGUCCUAUUCUUCAGGCGGGAUCCUGCUGUCUUUGGCUUGAAUCUUGAAAACUGAACUUGACCCUAUUCUUCAGGCGGACUCCUGCUGUCUUUGACUUGAAUCUUGAAAACUGAAAGUUGACUGUAUUCUUCAGGUGGGCUCCUGAUGAUUGCACUUGAAAUAAACUUGAACUUGGAGUAGACUUGAGCUUGCAAACCAUGUCCUUCAGGCGGCUCGUGCUACUUCCGAUUUAACUUAAAAACUGGAGGUUGACCCUAUUCUUCAGGCGGGUUCCUGCUGCUUCUGACUUAAACUUGAAACAUGUUAUUCACGUGGGCUCCUAAUGCCUGUUUGACUUGAAAUUGUAAACUAAAAGUUGACCCUGUUCUUCAGGCGGGAUUCUCCUGAUGCCUCUAAAACUUGAAAUUGAAACCUGAACACUGACCCUAUUCUCCAUGUGGGCUCCUGAUGCCUCUCUGAUUUGAACUUGUAAACCGAAAGUUGACCCUUCUCUUCAGGCGGGAUUCUCAUGGUGCUCCUCUAAAUUGAAAGUUGACCAUGUUCUUUAGGCAGUAUUCUCCUGAUGCUUCUCUAAAUUGAAAUUGUAAACUGAAAGUUGACCAUGUUCUUCAGGCAAGAUUCUUUUGAUGUCUCUUGAACUUGAAAUUGAAAGUUGACUCUGUUCUUCAGGCGGGCUCUUGAUGCCUCUCUGACUUGAAAUUGUAAACUGAAAGUUAACCCUGUUCUUCAAGCGAGAUUCUCUUGAUGCUUCUCUAAAUUGAAAGUUGACCCUGUUCUUUAGGUGUGCUCCUGAUGCCUCUCUAACUUGAAAUUGUAAACUGAAAGUUGACCCUGUUAUUCAGGCGGAAUUCUCCUGAUGCCUCUUGAACUUGAAAUUGAAAAUUGACCAUGUUCUUCAGGCAGGCUCCUGAUGCCUCUCUGACUUAAAUUGUAAACUGAAAGUUGACCUUGUUCUUCAGGCGGGAUUUUCCUAAUGCUUCUCUAAAUUGAAAGUUGACUCUAUUCUUUAGGCGGGCUCCUGAUGCCUCUUUAACCUGAAAUUGUAAACUAAAAGUUGACCCUGUUCUUCAGACGGGAUUCUCCUGAUGCUUCUUGAACUUGAAAUUUAAAGUUGAACCUAUUCUCCAGGUGGGUGCCUGCAAUCACAACAAAACAGACAAAACAAAAAAAAAAUCUGCCCCAGUUUGUACCAGAAACAUUUGUGAGUGUUAGUUGAAUCCCAAUUUCAAGGAGGGACCAGAAAACUUAAAUCAAAUCUCAUUAUCCAGGAGGGUCCUGAGAACUUAAAACUAAUCUCAUUAUCCAUGAGGGUCCUGAAAACUUGAAAACUAAAUCCCGUUAUCCGGAGGGGUGCUGAAAAUGAACUUACCUAAGCCAUGCUCUCUUCCUGGAAGAUCCCUGCAAAAAGAGCAAAAUUCCUUCACCCUGAACCAUACUUUUCCUUAUGGAGGAUCCCUACAAAUCGAACAACUUUUUUUUUGCCCCUGAAAGGUUUGAGCUUCCAAACUUUGAUUUGGACACAAUUUUCGUCCCUGUUUCAAACAAAGAAAACUUGUGAGUUUAAAAGGUGGUGGUUGGUUUGUAGUAGGGGUGGACAUCAGUCGAUUCGGUUCGGUUUUGUAGAAUUUCAGUGCGAUCAAUUCGAUUUUCGGUUUGUGAUUUUAAUAACCAAAACCGAACCAUAAUAACUUCUGUUCGGUUCGGUUUAUUCAUGUUCCAGUUCGGUUUUCAAUUUCAAGCCAUGAUAAAAAUAGUACGAAACAACGAAACAAUAUAUUACUAAAAAAAAAAGGAAUUUGAGUAAGAAACAAUACUAAAGUAUAUAGUGUUAAACUUAUUAGUAUAACAAUUUUGUGGUAUAAAAAUAUAUUUCUAUAUAGAUAAAAUAUUAAUAUUAAUAUUAAACUGCGAAGUUAAAAGUAGACAAUUCGAAACAUAAAUUGCGUACUUUAAGAUUCUGCACCAUAUAAUAUUAAAAUAAGUAAAAAAACUACGCAUGAAAUUAUGGAGUAUCAGCAUAUCAAUGGAAAGCUAAUCAGUUAAUUAGUCAAAGUACAGGAUCCUUCAAAAAAUUAAACAUUUAGACCAUAUUAUUAAAAAAAUGAUGAAGCUAGUCCUGUACUUUUCAGUUUUAACGGAAGAAACUUGUAUUUAUCUCUUAUAUAUAUAUAUAUAUAUAUAUACACGUGUCAUGAAUGAAACCAGUUAAUGUUAAUGUUACCAAACGAGAUUAAAUUGAUACUAUAUGUAUAGACACACACAUAAGCACAUGCAUUUUUCUUUUGGAUUUCUCACCGUCAGGCGUAGCUACUUAUUGCAGAGGUCCGAAAUUUGGUUUUUCGGUUUCUCGGUUUAACCGAAAACCGAACUAUUAAAACCGACCACCGAAUUGAACAGCUAAUUUUUUAAAAUUAUAAACCACAAACCGACCGAAUAAAUCGAAAACCGAAACCGAAUAAACCGAAUUUUUCGGUUCGACCGAUUUUUUCGAUUCGGUCGGUAUUAUGUUCACCCCUAGUUUGUGGCAUUGGCCUUGAGGUCUAUUGCUCCUUCAUUUGGCAUGAUAACUUUGAUUUGCACUUGGAAGACCUUACUUGUUAUUGGUUAACCACUUUCUUUGUCAACCUUUAUCAAUGAAAACACCUCCGAUUCAUUCAAGCCCAAUACAUUAUACCCGAUGUAUUGCUCAUGAAUUGACAUUUACUGAACCUUUGCAUUUCACAUGGAUCCCAAAGCAUGCCGAUUGUUAUCAAAUCAGUGCGCAUAUUAUUCUUUCCUGAAUUAUGUCGCUUUGAUGUGCUAGCGAGAUUCCGCUCUAUGCAAUUGGAGAGCUGGUAGCAAAUUUUAAAGUCAUUUCUCGCAUGUUCUGACCAAACUAGCUCAAAAGAGGACUUGAACAAAACAAGAGGAACAGAGUAAGGGACAAUGGAAAGACAUGAUAUCCAACAAGAAAACUACAAAGUAGAAACUUAUCAGAUGUGGAUACCAACUCUAAUGACCAUGACAUGUAUUUUUGGAUUAAUGGUCUAAUCUGUCAAGAAAGUCUAAUGUUCAACUCUUGUUAUACCUCUAUGGCGUGAAAUUGGGCUUCAAUGCUCCAAUUAUCCUUUUUGAUUCACGAUCCUUAUUCGACUUGUAGUGCCCGAAGAGUUUUCACCAUCAAGCCUCUCUCAUUUUGCUCUUUCUCUCAACUCACUGUCGCCUUAUGGUUCCUGUGAUAGUUUUGACUAAUAAGACUCUCUCAUUUUGUUCUUUUCUUCUUAUUUCCUCUAAUUCUGCAGAUGACAAGGCAUUACCUAUGGUAAAAAUAUCAUAUGCUCUUGGCAUGGCUAACUCAGCACUCUCAAAGAUUAUCUGAGAGGUCUUUUUUGGACUGUAAUAUGGCUUUUGGACAGGGUUAGAAAGAAAGGAUAUCAUAAAGGCUCAAAAUAACUAAGAUAACAGGGUUAAUUUAUUUACAACUUUUGGAAUCCAUUUUAAACUUUGCCCCAAUUUCUAAAACAAGAGAAUUUGAUUCUCUCUUCUUUUUUUUUAGAUGGAAUUUCUAAGAAAAACUGCCCCACUCUUGACUUUGUGGGAUUAUGAAAUAUUUUAUUUAGUGCGAUCAAACCGUAAGGCUGUCUACGUAUCUUGUGGUGACAAGAAUCAGAUCGAACGUAGUUCAAAGAUACUUUUUGUUGUCGCUAUUUUUCUUUUCUCUUUUCUUUUCUUUUUCUUCUUUUUCUCUUUUGGCAUGAACUUUCUAAAACAAAUCUAUGGGGACAUGAACUUGUUUUUUUAUAUGACUCUAACGUUCCAAAAGAAGGGAGGUCAAAGAAAUCAGCAUAAGCUCAAAGGGUAUAAAGUGUUUGGGUAGCUGAAAGAAGGUCUCCCAAUCUCUGAAAAUGUCAAGUACGACACAUGCAGCUUGAGGAUGAAAAUCGAAGAUCAUGUACCAUAUUUCUUUUGCAGCUACGACAUUGAUAUCACAGAUAUGCCUUCCACCUUUCUUUAGUGCAUUGUCAAGUACAGAACUCUUGUUGGGUAAUUUCUUCUUCACAAUGAAUGUCAUCCGCCAGUUUGGAGCAAACUCUUUUGGUUUUAUCUUGUAACUUGAGAUGCACUUGAACUGAAAGUUGCUCGCUUCAAAUUGUUUGGGACACACUCUCCCGUGAUAAAUUCUUGUCGUCCUAUUAACUUCUCAAACUAUUUGCCCCACUUUCACACAAUUCGGGCUUUAAAUGUUCUUAAAAUAUCCAGAUCUUUACUUAUUUCCCUCAAAUGUCUCUGCCAUCUUCAAAACUUGUUUCAUUGUUUCAUAAUUAGACUAACUUUUAAGACUAGGCUGAGAAUUCCAUGUGCAUGUCAUGUCACUAGAGUCACCAUGAAAAGAACUAUAAAAGAAAAAGAGAACUAAACAAAAAUUGACUAGAAAUAACAGAAAUAGGAGAUUGCAUUAAAUAAACGGUGAAAAGGUUCGAACAACAAAACAAGCAAACUAAACUAGGUUACAACCCUGGAACAAUCCUAAAUAACACUAAACGAGUUGGUACGACUAAACGAAUUAGGCAAAAUAAAAAGAUAGAAGGGUUUGAGUCACAAGACAAUAUCUGAAUUACAACCUUGAAAUAAACCGAACAAUAGAAAUGACAACAAAAUAAACAAUCAAGACUCCUCCCCGGCUAACCAAGAAAGGAGCAUCUUUCCAAUCACCAAGCUCGACAUCUUAGCCACUGAGUUGCACAUCAAAAUUACUGGGACUUUCACCAACUUCAAUCACAUUGUCUUCACCACGUGGCACAUUGACUCCUUUGAACAACCCUUCCUUAGCACUAAUUGUUGAAUUAGCAACUGACCCCCUAAGGGAUCUUGCCUCAAAUGACUUACCAAGGAACUUGAAAGAACCUGCACAUUCAUUAUCAUUGCAAACCAUCCCAACAAUUUGUGCGUAUUCAUGCACCUAUAGAGGAUUAUGUGUGACACUUGGGGUAUUACUGCCUUGGACCACAAUUAUCCCUUCUUUAAUCAUUCUUUCUAUCUACAUUCAUUAUCAUUGCAAACCAUCCCAACAAUUUGUGCGUAUUAAUGCACCUAUAGAUGAUUAUGUGUGACACUUGGGGUAUUACUGCAUUGGACCACAAUUAUCCCUUCUUUAAUCAUUCUUUCUAUCUUCCUUUUCAAAACACGAUAAUCUUCAAUGAUAUGCCCUUGGACAUUAGAGUGGUACAUGCACCGUACAGUAGGAUCAAAACCUUUUGCAUAUGGGUCUGGAGCAUAGCCGAUGAGCGGCUCAAUCAAGCUAGAAUGUUUUAACCUUUCAAACAAGUUUGUGUAGGAUUCCCAGAUUGGUGUGAAAUUAUCUUUCUGCCUUUGUUUCCCUCCAUGCCUAUGUUUUUUAGGUUUAUAAGGUGCCUGAAAAUGUUGUGAAGGCGUACGAGAAUUUUGGGGUGCUGGUACUUGCCCUAGGGAGUGAACCAGUUGUUGGACAUCUUUCAGACGUUGUUCGGAGGAUAAUACUAGGGUAGAUUAUGUGGAGCUUGGGGAUACACAUGGAGUCGGUAUUGAGGCUGAAAGCGCUUAGCAGGAAUGUCCACUGGAUCCUGUCGUUGGCGGGGCUUAGCAAAAUCUUUUCUAUCUGAGGACUGACCCGAGCAACUUGUUCAUUCCAACUGAGCCAAAACUCCCUAAAACUUUUCUCGGGUUUCUUUUCCAUCUGAGAUAGGGAGGAGCGGUCUGGGAUAAUGUCUUCAUUGUACUGAUAGUACCGAACAAAAUUUUGAGCCAUGUCACCCCAUGGAUGUCACUUACUAACAUCUUGAUGAGUAUACCACUCCAAGGCUUCCCCACUCAAACUCCCACUGAUAUAUGCCAUCAACAAUUCAUCUUUCCUGCAAACACUUCUCAUUUUACUGCAAUAACCCCUCAGAUGGGCUACUGGAUUUCCACGCCCAUCAUACAAAUCAAACUUUGGCAUCUUAAAUCCAGCAGGCAGUUAGACGUCAGGACAUAAACACAAGUCUUUAUAAGACACGCUCACCUGGCUCUCUAUCCCUUGCAUCUUAUUUUAAGACUGCUCUAAGAUUUUUACCUUCCAGGAUAUCUCAUCUUGCUCCACUGUCUUAGCAGGUUUUUCAGUUUCGCCGGGAGGCUCAAAAUGAAGAGCGUAAGAGUAUGGAUCCCAGACCUUGAAAGUUGGUUCUGGAGCAUAGUGUUGGGCAUCGGGACUUUGAUCACAGUAGAGGAUCGAGGAAGAAUAGCUGAUGGAGGAGCUACAAAAACAUGAGUGGUCAAAGAAGCAGAAUACGAGGUGGUUCUGGGGAGUGGAGUGUGAGAAGGUUGUGGGGAGAUAACAGCAGCAAUGGGAAUCUGGAUUUGUGACAGUGGCGGAAUGGUGACGAGGCUUUCAAUGUAGUUAGUGGGAAAUAAUGGUGGAGGACGCCCACUAAUCCAGGCUUGGUAUAUUUCGGUCAUCUGUCCUUUCAACCUUAGGACCUCUUCUUUCAACUCAGAUUCUGAUUGAAUAAUCUCCUUGGACGGAUCAACAACACUUGUGUCCAAGUCUUUUUUAGCCUUGGCUACCUUGCCCUUUGGCCUUGUGUUGUAUGAAUGAAUUACCUUAAGAACCACAAACCAAUCACCCUUUUGUUCGAUGAAGAUAACAAAGAGGAACAAAAUGAGGUCAUCGCGUUAGCGUUAGGGCAUUUAACAUACGAUAAUCUCACAUUAUGUGCAAUGCACCUAAUUACAAUUAUUGGCUACAAAAUGACUUCGAGGGUGCGAAAGUCAACUAGGCAUUAUCCCAAUUUUACUUCUCUUGCCCUUUUCUUCUUCAUUUCCUCUCUUGCGCUCCUUGAUUUGCUCAUUUUCUUUCCUCUCUUUUUCUUUCUAAUUAACACUCUUUUCUUUCCACUCAUUUUUCACAUCCCAUAACUUCAUCUCUUUUUUUUCUUUUCCCUCUUUUUUUUAAUUUCAAAAACAAUUCGAUCGAACCCUAUGUAGGUUGCCUACGUAUCAUGUCAUCGCAUGAAUCAGAUCGUUCCGUAGUUCGGAAAGAUUGGGAAUAAAGUAAAUAAACUAACUCUUUUUUUUGGAUUUGAAUUUUUUUUACUUUUUUUUUAGUUUCCGAAAGAAAAAGAAAAUAUUUUUGGAUUUCGAUUUUUGUUUUGAGAUUUUUUUGGAUUUCAAUUUUUUUUGUUUUUUGUUUUGAAAUAUUUUUGAUUUCUGGACUUUAUUUUGAAUUUAUGGAAGAAAGACUUAUAAAGAAAAAGAAAAUACUUUUGAAUCUUGAAUUUUCUUUUCAAUUUUCGAAAGAAGAAUGAAAAUAUUUUUGGAUUUUGAGAAGAAAUUAAAAGAAAAUAUUUUUUGAUUUUUAAAAAAUUAGAAUAUAAAAGAAAGACUUUCUAUAGAGGGAAGUACAGGAAAAUCUUUGGAUUUUUUGAAAAUUAUGGGCCGGAACCGAUAAGGUUUGCCUACGUAUCUCAAAUCCGGUGAGAAUCAGAUCCGCGUAGUUUGGUCAGUUAUGACAUAAUCGGGAGAAAUAUGUUAUUGACUCAUUUUGAAAUGACUUUUUUUCCUUUUCAUUUUUUUCAGUUUUCAACACUUUUUCUUUGAAAGUUUUCGGCAGAGUUUCGGGACAUUCUCAAAUACCGGAAUUUUCAGAGCUGGGUUUAGUUUCUCUCUUACAUCACUCUUAGUUUUUCUCUUGAUUUUCUUUUCUUAGUCAAUCAACAUCCAAGCCAAAACAAAUAAAUGUACAAAUAGCACAUAAGAUGCAUCAGAAUGGUCUUUUAUUUCGGGUACAUCUGUCCUAGACGGAUCCAACCUCUGUGUUGAGUCCCCAAAGUCAAAUGCAUGUGAUGCAAGCAAACAUUCCUACUAGGGAUCCGGCAUGAGGCUAUGUUAUUCUAGGUUUAAACCUAGGGUUGUGUUCUAGACCUGGCUUACCCGAGUGGACAGCUCGAGCCGAGGUGAGGGCAACGUAACGAGUGCACGAAAGUCUACCCGGCCUAAUUGCUGACCCAGCCUCGUUCUAUUUGGUAUGACUUCUAAUAGAAAAAUGGGUCACGCGUACGUGUGCACUAUAUUUUUAGAAGACUUAGAAGGAAGGCAUAAGAAGAUAGUUUAAUACAAUUCAAAUAAUAUUAAAGCGGUAAAUAAGCAGCAAUUAGCACAUUAGGUCCACAAAUACAGUAAUAACAACAAACAAUAAAACCAAACAUAGAUCAUAUUAACAAGCUCGAAUUCUAAACCUUGAACCAGAAGUUCUGGAUGAAUAUCCCCAGUGGAGUCGUCAUAGUUAUCACACCUCCUUUUUCCGAAAGAAUAGAGAAUUUUUCCAAUUAAAGUGACAAUAAUCGAAAUGAGAUUAUUUAUUUAAAUUUAGAAUCGUCACUUGGGAUAAUUUAUGGUGUCCCAAGUCACCGGUUUAUUUUAAAUCCCAAAUCGAGAAAAUUGACUCUAUUUAUGAUCUGCGAACACAAAAGACCAGAUAAGAAAUUCUAUUAACCCGGGAGAAGGUGUGAGGCAUUCCCGAAUUCCAUUAUUUUAGCAUGGUCACUUUAAUCAUACCAAGCUAUAAUUUGUUAUUUACGUAUUUUAAGAACCUAUGUAUAUUUUACCCUUUAUACCGCUUUUAAUUAUAGCGUUGGAUGUAAUCUUUGACACAUACUACAUGUGUGUAAAUCUGCUUUAUUUGGGGCAUUAAAAUCAUGUUACGCGAACGUGUACACAAUUAAUCACGCUUAUUAAUUUAAGAUUGUUUGGCCGAAGUUGCGCAAACGCAUACCUCGAUAAAAUUUUGAAAAUCGUAAUCAUGUCACACGAACGUGUCCACAAUCACGAUAGUAGAUUAGGUCGCGCCUAAAGCAUUUCCUACGAAUACACAUUUUUAAAUCGUACUUAUGUCAGGAGAACAUGUACACAAUUAAUAGUAUUUUAUUAUUAUUAAGAUUGUUUUGCCCAAAAUUAUGCGAACGCAUAUUUUGGUUUUAAUAUUGAAAAUAAUAAUUAUGUCAUGCGAACGUGUACAUAAUCACGAUAAUUUAUUUAUUGAUACGCGCUUAAAGCAUACUAGCAAUUAUUCAUGAUUCAUUUCUUUCCUAAGUUUGAGAUUAAAAAAAAUGCCAGCAUUCCGGUCCAAAUCUUUUAAUAACUAGCCUACACAUUUCUUUCCAAAAAAAGACUGCGCUUAAAUUCAAAUACUAGAAAAGAGACUCGAGCAUUUUUCGAAAUCACUGGAAUCAGCAUAUGCACAAGUGCAAUUCAAUCAAGAUUACAUUGUCAAAUGAAUGAAUACUAAGAUGCUGAAGAUAACAACUCUUAACAUAAUUAUCACCAGAAUUCAUUUUUUAUAGUUUGGGGUUAAAAAAUCAAAGUUAAGCACUUACAUCCUUAAUAACAAAGUUAAGGAACACAAAAAUAUUCCACCAGACAAUACAACUAAAUUUACUAGCACGAAAAAUACAAACGACACAACCAUAACAGAUUAUAAAAAUUUAACCAAGCAUGAUCUUUCGAGCAAAACGGUAAAGAAGAAAAUAACGGACCUUUGAAACUUUUCAAUAUAUUAAAGAUCUUCCAACUGGGUUACAAGAAGAACGCGACAGUGUAGUUGAAAACGAACAGACCUGUCACCCGGAAACCACGACAGAAAUAUCAAACCGACGACGACCUUGACGGAACCACAAAUCUCCCCGAAAACCUCAGACUACGACCUCAAACUCCGUUGGUUCAACGCUGCAGCUGCUGAUGCACCACCAACGUGUGCUAAAGCAGUAGCAACAGUAGGUAUCGAGAGAAGAAUAUUGACUAGCAAAGUGUCAGGAACAUUUUGGAGGAGGGUCGCUGGUCCCUUUCUCCGUUUUCUUUGCUUGUCGCCGCUGAUGCUCUCUUCUAAAGAGAGAGUGACGAUGGAGAGUGUCUCGCUGCUCGUCUCCCAGUGAACCAGAGGAUUAGGAGAUGCGGCUCUAGGUUUUUAGGUUAUAAUUAGGUUUAUAUUUGAUAGGGGAAAAGAUUGUGACCAUUGGAUUAAAAUGGAUCGAUGGCUAGGAUUAAAAGGGUGCAUUUGGGCGGGUCACCUGGGUUGAUGGGUCAAAGGAAUAAUGGGCUUUUGGUUCUUGCUGGGCUAAUCCGAUCUGUGCUACUAAAGAUUCGAUAUUGG